GGACGAACGCUGGCGGCGUGCUUAACACAUGCAAGUCGAACGGAAAGGCCCUGCUUUUGUGGGGUGCUCGAGUGGCGAACGGGUGAGUAACACGUGAGUAACCUGCCCUUGACUUUGGGAUAACUUCAGGAAACUGGGGCUAAUACCGGAUAGGAGCUCCUGCUGCAUGGUGGGGGUUGGAAAGUUUCGGCGGUUGGAGAUGGACUCGCGGCUUAUCAGCUUGUUGGUGGGGUAGUGGCUUACCAAGGCUUUGACGGGUAGCCGGCCUGAGAGGGUGACCGGCCACAUUGGGACUGAGAUACGGCCCAGACUCCUACGGGAGGCAGCAGUGGGGAAUAUUGCACAAUGGGCGGAAGCCUGAUGCAGCAACGCCGCGUGCGGGAUGACGGCCUUCGGGUUGUAAACCGCUUUCGCCUGUGACGAAGCGUGAGUGACGGUAAUGGGUAAAGAAGCACCGGCUAACUACGUG
rnacentral:rRNA from 1 species